rnacentral:rRNA from 1 species
CCUACGGGUGGCAGCAGUGGGGAAUAUUGGACAAUGGGGGGAACCCUGAUCCAGCCAUGCCGCGUGUGUGAAGAAGGCCCUCGGGUUGUAAAGCACUUUCAGUGAGGAAGAACGCCUGGUGGUUAAUACCCAUCAGGAAAGACAUCACUCACAGAAGAAGCACCGGCUAACUCCGUGCCAGCAGCCGCGGUAAUACGGAGGGUGCGAGCGUUAAUCGGAAUUACUGGGCGUAAAGCGCGCGUAGGUGGCUUGAUAAGCCGGUUGUGAAAGCCCCGGGCUCAACCUGGGAACGGCAUCCGGAACUGGCAAGCUAGAGUGCAGGAGAGGAAGGUAGAAUUCCCGGUGUAGCGGUGAAAUGCGUAGAGAUCGGGAGGAAUACCAGUGGCGAAGGCGGCCUUCUGGACUGACACUGACACUGAGGUGCGAAAGCGUGGGUAGCAAACAGGAUUAGAUACCCGAGUAGUC